rnacentral:rRNA from 1 species
UACGAAGGGGGCUAGCGUUGCUCGGAAUCACUGGGCGUAAAGCGCACGUAGGCGGAUCGCUAAGUCAGGGGUGAAAUCCUGGAGCUCAACUCCAGAACUGCCUUUGAUACUGGCAAUCUCGAGUCCGGGAGAGGUGAGUGGAACUGCGAGUGUAGAGGUGAAAUUCGUAGAUAUUCGCAAGAACACCAGUGGCGAAGGCGGCUCACUGGCCCGGUACUGACGCUGAGGUGCGAAAGCGUGGGGAGCAAACAGG